rnacentral:piRNA from 1 species
UGUCCCUUAGUGUCACAUUCAACCGGGAU